GCUGUCCAAAUGGCUGGGUUGGGUACAAUGGGGUCUGCUACUACUUCUCAAGGGAUUACAGCACCUGGGAUCAGGGCCAGGAACGGUGCUCCGAGCUCGAGGCCUCCCUGGCCAUUGCCAAGGAUGAGGAGGCCAUGGAUUUGCUCUUCCGCCUCCGCGGGAACCGCGAUUUCUGGCUCGGGCUGCGCAGACGGGGCGAGCGCCUGCACUGGGGGGACGGCAGCAGCUACAGCUCCCGGGUUCCCGUCUUUGACAAUUCCCAGUGUGUGUACCUGGCUGAUGAGAGAUUCAGGAGUGGGAA